rnacentral:rRNA from 1 species
AUGAACGCUGGCGGCGUGCCUAAUACAUGCAAGUCGAGCGAACAGACGAGGAGCUUGCUCCUCUGACGUUAGCGGCGGACGGGUGAGUAACACGUGGAUAACCUACCUAUAAGACUGGGAUAACUUCGGGAAACCGGAGCUAAUACCGGAUAAUAUAUUGAACCGCAUGGUUCAAUAGUGAAAGCCGGUUUUGCUGUCACUUAUAGAUGGAUCCGCGCCGCAUUAGCUAGUUGGUAAGGUAACGGCUUACCAAGGCAACGAUGCGUAGCCGACCUGAGAGGGUGAUCGGCCACACUGGAACUGAGACACGGUCCAGACUCCUACGGGAGGCAGCAGUAGGGAAUCUUCCGCAAUGGGCGAAAGCCUGACGGAGCAACGCCGCGUGAGUGAUGAAGGUCUUCGGAUCGUAAAACUCUGUUAUUAGGGAAGAACAAAUGUGUAAGUAACUAUGCACGUCUUGACGGUACUUAAUCAGAAAGCCACGGCUAACUACGUG